rnacentral:rRNA from 1 species
CCAAUAGCGUAUAUUAAAGUUGUUGCAGUUAAAAAGCUCGUAGUUGAAUUUUAGGCCUGGCCGGGCGGUCCGUCUUUGGCGAGUACUGUCCUGUGUCGGGUCCACCUUCUGGUGAACCAGUAUGUCCUUUAUUGGGUGUGCCGGGGAGCCAGGACCAUUAUCUUGAAAAAAUUAGAGUGUUUAAAGCAGGCAUUUGCUUGAAUAGAUUAGCAUGGAAUAAUAGAAUAGGACGUUGUGGUUCUAUUUCGUUGGUUUCUAGGAUCACCGUAAUGAUUAAUAGGGAUAGUUGGGGGCAUUAGUAUUCAAUUGUCAGAGGUGAAAUUCUUGGAUUUAUUGAAGACUAACUACUGCGAAAGCAUUUGCCAAGGAUGUUUUCAUUAAUCAAGAACGAAAGUUAGGGGAUCGAAGACGAUCAGAUACCGUCGUAGUCUUAACCAUAAACUAUGCCGACUAGGGAUCGGACGAAGUUAAUUUUAUAAUGACGCGUUCGGCACCUUACG